UCCUUAGAUGUUCUGGGCAGCACGCGCGCUACAAUGGUCUUCGCAAACGGAUGCAUUCUCGAAGGAGAAUGCCAAUCUUGGAAUCUAUGCCUUGGUCGGGACAGUUGCUUGCAAUUUUUCGACUCGAACCAGGAAUUCCUUGUAAUCGUGACUCAUCACAUCACGAUGAAUACGUCCCUGCCCUUUGUACACACCGCCCGUCGCUCCUACCGAUCGAAGAGUUAGGUGAAUUGUUUUGAUCGAUAAGAUUUGACUAUGGUCAACUCUCGUUGUGAAAUUCUGUGAAUCUGACUGUUUAGAGGAAGGAAAAGUCGUAACA
rnacentral:rRNA from 1 species